CGAUGACUCGGGGAUAGCCUUUCGAAAGAAAGAUUAAUACCCGAUGGCAUAGUUCUUCCGCAUGGUGGAACUAUUAAAGAAAUUUCGGUUCAUCGAGUGGGGAUGCGUUCCAUUAGGUUGUUGGCGGGGUAACGGCCCACCCAAGACCUUCGAUGGAUAGGGGUUCUGAGAGGAAGGUCCCCCACAUUGGAACUGAGACACGGUCCAAACUCCUACGGGAGGCAGCAUG
rnacentral:rRNA from 1 species